rnacentral:rRNA from 1 species
GAUGAACGCUGGCGGCGUGCCUAAUACAUGCAAGUAGAACGCUGAAGGAGGAGCUUGCUCUUCUGGAUGAGUUGCGAACGGGUGAGUAACGCGUAGGUAACCUGCCUGGUAGCGGGGGAUAACUAUUGGAAACGAUAGCUAAUACCGCAUGACAACAGUUAUUGCAUGAUAACUGUUUAAAAGGGGCAACUGCUCCACUACCAGAUGGACCUGCGUUGUAUUAGCUAGUUGGUGAGGUAACGGCUCACCAAGGCGACGAUACAUAGCCGACCUGAGAGGGUGAUCGGCCACACUGGGACUGAGACACGGCCCAGACUCCUACGGGAGGCAGCAGUAGGGAAACUUCGGCAAAGGACGGAAGUCUGACCGAGGAACGCCGCGGGAGGGAAGAAGGGUGUCGGAUCGUAAAGGUCUGUUGUAAGAGAAGAACGAGUGUGAGAGUGGAAAGUUCACACUGUGACGGUAUCUUAACAGAAAGGGACGGCUAACUACGUG